rnacentral:lncRNA from 1 species
AGCAAAACGUUUGUGGAAAAUGAAAAUUUGAGGCAAUAUUAGGGAAAUCUAUGUUUGGAUGUGGAAGCACUGACUAAACAAAAUGGCGUCCGGUUGUUAGGAAAAUUAAAAAAAAAAGUUUAAAAAAAAAAGUUAAAACUGUUGGUUCUCAGUGUAGGUAGUGGUCUGGAAAUACAUGUCCUUUGUGGUAGAUUCUCACUAGUCUAAACUUCAAACUGUUGGUUCUCAGUGUAGGUAGUGGUCUGGAAAUACAUGUCCUUUGUGGUAGAUUCUCACUAGUCUAAACUUUAAACUUCAAACUGUUGGUUCUCAGUGUAGGUAGUGGUCUGGAAAUACAUGUCCUUUGUGGUAGAUUCUCACUAGUCUAAACUUCAAACUGUUGGUUCUCAGUGUAGGUAGUGGUCUGGAAAUACAUGUCCUUUGUGGUAGAUUUUCACUAGGCCAAAUAAAAAAAUAUGUGGGUUUCCGGUUUCCCGACCUUACCUAGCUUUUGGACGUUGAAAUCCCGACCCUAAACUUUUUUAUUGGAUCACGCUUGUAAGUGUUUCCACUUAGAGCAAAAUGUUUGUGGAAAAUGAAAAUUUGAGGCAAUAUUAGGGAAAUUUAUGUUUGGAUGUGGAAGCACUGACUAAACAAAAUGGCGUCUGGUUGUUAGGAAAAUUAAAAAAAAAAGUUUAAAAAAAAAAGUUAAAACCGACCUACCCUACCUAAGUUUUUACAAGAGGAAACCGGAAACCCACAUAUUUUUUUUGUUGGCCCUAGUCUAAACUUCAAACUGUUGGUUCUCAGUGUAGGUAGUGGUCUGGAAAUACAUGUCCUUUGUGGUAGAUUCCCACUAGUCUAAACUUCAAACUGUUGGUUCUCAGUGUAGGUAGUGGUGUUGAAAUACAUGUCCUUUGUGGUAGAUUCUCACUAGUCUAAACUUCAAACUGUUGGUUCUCAGUGUAGGUAGUAGUUUUGAAAUACAUUCUCACUAGUCUAAACUUCAAACUGUUGGUUCUCAGUGUAGGUAGUGAUCUUGAAAUACAUGUCCUUUGUGGUAGAUUCUCACUAGUCUAAACUUCAAACUGUUGGUUCUCAGUGUAGGUAGUGGUGUUGAAAUACAUGUCCUUUGUGGUAGAUUCUCACUAGUCUAAACUUCAAACUGUUGGUUCUCAGUGUAGGUAGUAGUUUUGAAAUACAUUCUCACUAGUCUAAACUUCAAACUGUUGGUUCUCAGUGUAGGUAGUGAUCUUGAAAUACAUGUCCUUUGUGGUAGAUUCUCACUAGUCUAAACUUCAAACUGUUGGUUCUCAGUGUAGGUAGUGGUUUUGAAAUACAUGUUCUUUGUGGUAGAUUCUCACUAGUCUAAACUUCAAACUGUUGGUUCUCAGUGUAGGUAGUGGUCUGGAAAUACAUGUCCUUUGUGGUAGAUUCUCACUAGUCUAAACUUCAAACUGUUGGUUCUCAGUGUAGGUAGUGGUCUGGAAAUACAUG